rnacentral:rRNA from 1 species
ACUCCUACGGGAGGCAGCAGUGGGGAAUAUUGGACAAUGGGGGCAACCCUGAUCCAGCAAUGCCGCGUGUGUGAAGAAGGCCUGCGGGUUGUAAAGCACUUUCAGUAGAGAAGAAAAGCCUAGGGUUAAUACCCCUGAGUCUUGACGUUACCUACAGAAGAAGCUCCGGCUAACUCCGUGCCAGCAGCCGCGGUAAUACGGAGGGAGCGAGCGUUAAUCGGAAUCAUUGGGUUUAAAGGGUCCGUAGGUGGAUGAUUAAGUCAGAGGUGAAAUCCUGCAGCUCAACUGUAGAAUUGCCUUUGAUACUGGUUGUCUUGAAUUAUUGUGAAGUAGUUAGAAUAUGUGGUGUAGCGGUGAAAUGCAUAGAUAUCACAUAGAAUACCGAUUGCGAAGGCAGAUUACUAACAAUACAUUGACACUGAUGGACGAAAGCGUGGGGAGCAAACAGGAUUAGAGACCCUGGUAGCGAGUAG